UCCGGCUUGACGCUGGCAGUCCCCCGAGAGUCCUCAGCUUUACCUGUUAGUAACACGGGGCAAGGGUUGCGCUCGUUGCGGGACUUAACCCAACAUCUCACGACACGAGCUGACGACAGCCAUGCAGCACCUGUGCUGGUGUCCCGAAGGAGGGCCCUGCUUUCACAAGGCUUUUCCUGCGUAGUUCAGCCCAGGUAAGGUUCUUCGCGUCACAUCGAAUUAAGCCACAUGCUCCGCCGCUUGUGCGGGUCCCCGUCAAUUCCUUUGAGUUUUAGCCUUGCGGCCGUACUCCCCAGGCGGGGUGCUUAAUGCGUUAGCUUCGGCACAGAGGACGUCGAUAGCCCCCCACACCUAGCACCCAUCGUUUACGGCGUGGACUAC
rnacentral:misc_RNA from 1 species